ensembl:lncRNA
CCUGGAUCAGAACAGGAAGUAGGGUCACCUGACAGGAAGCACCUGAGAUGAUAUAUAUAACAGCAACACACAGACAGACACAGAGAGAGACAGACAGAAUGCCGGGUGGCUGGACUGUUCUGGUAUGUGUGGCGCUGUGGGGGUGCUGGGGGGGUGAGACAGCGGAGUGUGAAUGUAAGGCCUGUAUUGAUUUAGACAAGCUGGACACCCUGCUGAAUAAGACUGGACAGCAGAAUGCGCAGCAGAAAGACCUGGUCCUUUUGAACGGCUCCUCCUUCAACCAAAUCAGAGUCAACCGCAAGCUCCAUGCCUGUGUCCUCAUGGAGAUCCUCAGAUUCUUCCGGAGCCUUCUGAAGAGAAGAUCUGAGAAUGACCUGCCUCACUUCCUUCAGAAGAUGGAGCACUGUGUCCGCAAGGGCUCCAGGGGUUUGGCUAUGCUUCAGAUCUAUCAGCUGGAUCAGGCCUACAACAAGCUGGACAACGAGAGUUUCCAGGAACAGGUGAUGGAAGAACUCCAGGGUCUGAAGGCUUACGUCACAGGCAGCGGCUUCAAGCAUUACCAGCUGAUCUGAAACCAUGAUCGGCGGCCAUCUUGCUCCUCAGACUCAAUCUUCCUCUUUGCAAACCUUCUUAUUAAAUUCAUCAUGUGAUAAACGGCUUG